UUUCGCGGUAGCACGUUCGCUUUGUAUCUCAAAAAUAUGAAGAGGAAAGUCCGGACACCACAGGGCAAGAUUCUCUACGAAAGUAGGGGGCAAAAGAGUUAAGUCUUUUGUACGGAAAGUGUCACAGAAAAUAAACCGCCGUCUAUGGGUAAGGGUGCAAAGGAGGUGUAAGAGACCACCGCGUUGUUAGCGAUAGCAAUGGCAGGACAAACCCAAUCGGGUGCAAGACAAAAUAGGAAGCUGGAUGGCCCGUCCAAAAGCUUCGGGUUUGUCGCAUUCGAAAGAAAACAAUUGCAAAAUUGUUAGAUAAAUGAACGUGGCAUUGUUUAACAAUGUACAGAAUCCGGCUUACAUACCGCAACCUAUU
rnacentral:RNase_P_RNA from 1 species